rnacentral:rRNA from 1 species
AUUGAACGCUGGCGGCAGGCCUAACACAUGCAAGUCGAACGCGUGGCGGACGGGUGAGUAAUGUCUGGGACACUGCCCGAUGGAGGGGGAUCACUACUGGACACGGUAGCUAAUACCGUAUUACAUCGGAUGUGCCCAGAUGGGAUUAGCUAGUAGGUGGGGUAAUCUCUCACCUAGGCCACGAUCCCUAGCUGGUCUGAGAGGAUGACCAGCCACACUGGAACUGAGACACGGUCCAGACUCCUACGGAAGGCAGCAGUGGGGAAUAUUGCACAAUGGGCGCAAGCCUGAUGCAGCCAUGCCGCGUGUAUGAAGAAGGCCUUCGGGUUGUAAAGUACUUUCAGCGAGGAGGCGUUACUCGCAGAAGAAGCACCGGCUAACUCCGUGCCAGCAGCCGCGGUAAUUC